ACCACGGCACAUUCAGUUAAAAAAAAUUCCCCAUCGUUUCUCAUCACUUAACAAUAGCAGAACGUAACAGCCCGAUGUACUGGUCAUAUUACGUGGUGGUUCAAUUGAGACAACAUGCUGGGAAUAUCCAGGCCUACACUGGAGGUCCGGAACAACUCACAUGGUUCAAUGACAUGGUUCAUUAGCAAACUAGAGCAAGGCCAAACUUCUCAGGUUAAUCCUAUCCCCAAAAUGCGACCAAAUUCCUAAAACACCAUGUUUCUCCAGGUUUUCCGCAAAACGAGAGUUCACCAAACUACCAUCAUCAGCUUCCUAAGCCAUCAGAGCACCUGCACCUGUUAGUUCUAAGAAAUGAACACGGAAAGUUAGUGAAAUGUAUGAAACUUCAGGGAUGUUUCAAUAUGAGCAUGAGGUGCAUUUCGGACAAGGAAAACGUGAUAUAAAAAAAAGACAAGGCGAUGUGUUGUUUUAAACAAACAGUCACUACUACAGUAGUACUUGGCGAGUGUGCAACAUGUUUAUUUUCUACCAGUGUCUUGAUUGAAGCAGAAAAACGGUAAUCACCUGUUGAGGAAUAACAAGCUUGAGUUUCAGGCUUGACUAGUGGUAAUACUUCAGGAAAAGGAAAGAAUAUAGUGAGUGGUCUUAUACACUAUACAACUUCAUGCCUAAUUUGCAGUUUCGAAUUUAAUCGGGUCUACUAGCUAAGAAACAAAUAUACACCCGGCUGAAAGGUGCAUGGUAAAACAAACACAAAUAUUGUCAGCACCACCAUCAAUACAAUAUACAAGCUAUUGAUAUAAGACUGCAUUGUGAGAUGAAUAUUUUCUAUAACAAAUGUCAGAAAUAUCAUUAACACUAGCAUAUAAUUAUGUAACUAGUAUUUUGAGUCCCAAACAAAGUACUCAUGCUGCUGAAAUACCAACCAGAAUCAAGCAAUGACGGUGUAGUAGGAUGCUGGUAUAUUGGACAAUAAUUAGUAGUCAUUGAGAAAGUACGCACAACAUUUAUAUCAAGUCAUGAACUAAAUGGGCUGAGUAUAUGUAAGACGAAUACAUCAUCCUAAACACGUGAAUGUAUGAUACUAUAUAGCAAGAAUGGGUCAAAUAAAAGACUUCAACCAAGAGAUACAUUGGCUGGUAACUUUGUACCUUCAUAUCUUCUAGCAUUUGUCUGCACGAACCAGAACAUCAGCUAAAGUUUGCUGUUUUGGGGCACCCUUCUUGCCUGAAAAGAAGUUCCUUUGGUCAAGAUAGAAGAACUUGAAUGACAGCCACCAUAAUAACACAUAAUUUUUUUAUAAAUGGGUGGCGUCAACAUCAUAAAAUUAGUGCUUCCUGAGAGCAUCAUUUAACAUAAUUUUUCUGUUGUUCUAAUAUCAGUUUAAGCGGAAACAAUGCACUAAAAUUUGGCUGUGUGAUGAAUUAUUGAUGCAGAGGCCGAGUGGUGUAAACUCUUCCUUCAUCUAGAGCUAUGAAGUAUUGAAGUUACAAUGCAUAGAGCAGGUUACCAGGAACUCUAACACCUUACUCAACAACACAUAGCAACUAAUAAGAGUAUAAACAGCACAACACUUAUACGGUAGACAUCAUGCCGUGGUCACCUGGAAAAGCAGGCAUCCUUUGAUCAAGGUACAAGAACUUGAACGACAGCUAUAAUAUUGACAGGCAACACUUAUAACAGUAUAUAUCCAUCUGUACAUUGCAUACUGAAUUGUGCUAGUGACAUAACUGAUGCAUAGAACAUGUGCUAGUGACCCGCAAUAGCAUGGCAGGAGGAUAUCUUAACUAGUACUCCCUCCGUAAACUAAUAUAAGAGCGUUUAGAUCACUUAGUUUACGGAGGGAGUAUGAACUUUAGAGAAAUGUUGUAGAGUAUUGUGAUUCACCUGGAAUCUGGCUUGAUCCCAGAAAUGACGGAAGCACACAUGGCAAGAACACAUUUGACCCGCAAUAGCAUGGCUGGAUACCACUGGCCAACACAGAUGACUGAGCAAUGAUCCUGUUCCGGCGCAUGUCCACGCUAACAGUAACUUCAGCGCCCAAGUUGAGGUACAGCAAGUCAGCGGAUCAAUCGCACCAACCAAAGGCCUCUCCUUGGCAUCCAGUGACACCUGGUGCUCCAACGCCCAGCGGCCGCUCUCGUCGUCCAGCACGAAUGACCUGAUCUGGUAGGGCGCCUCCAUGGAAACCUCGACAUACAGCAGCUUCCCGUCGCUGACACCCAUGCGCCUGUAUUUGAUAAGGUCGCAAAUCUCUGCGUGCGAUUGGCGAGGAAGGGCGCUGCCGGGAGGCAGCUUGACGUGGCGGAGCUCACACUUGUCACUGAACGGGUCCAUGGAGAGGACGCCCAAGCUCACAUCCACCCACCACAGACGUCCACCAAAGGCCAGCACCUCGUGAUUGAACAAGCGCAUCUCGCGCCCAGGCUGCAGCGGAGAUGGCCGCACCAUUGCGUCCCACUUCCCUGUGUCCGAGGAGAAGCAAAACACCACGAAGCGCCCCUCGCCGUUGAGCUCUGUUAGACUGUAUUUACAUGUAUAUUGUAACGUUGUAUACCACCUCAUUAUAUAUAUAUGUGAUAGGCCACCCCUAGAGGGUUAUGCCGGUUUCCCCAAAGCCUAUUGUCUUACAUGGUAUCACGCUAGGUUACGUCCGCUUCCGCCUAAAAACCCUAAACCGCCGCCGCCGCCGCCGUCGCCACCGCCGCCGCCGCCGCGCCCGCCGUCGCCGUCGCCCGACUGCUAUGACGUCCGCCGCUGCGUCCGGCUCCACCGCCACCGGUUUUCUGCCGGCCUCCCUCGCGGCACUUCUCUCGAGGCCGCUGGAUGCCGCCUCCCUUCAGGCGCCGAUCGGGACACGGAGCGUCGGCUCCCUCUUCGCGCUCCCGCCGGCUGCUNNNNNNNNNNNNNNNNNNNNNNNNNNNNNNNNNNNNNNNNNNNNNNNNNNNNNNNNNNNNNNNNNNNNNNNNNNNNNNNNNNNNNNNNNNNNNNNNNNNNNNNNNNNNNNNNNNNNNNNNNNNNNNNNNNNNNNNNNNNNNNNNNNNNNNNNNNNNNNNNNNNNNNNNNNNNNNNNNNNNNNNNNNNNNNNNNNNNNNNNNNNNNNNNNNNNNNNNNNNNCGCCCGACUGCUAUGACGUCCGCCGCUGCGUCCGGCUCCACCGCCACCGGUUUUCUGCCGGCCUCCCUCGCGGCACUUCUCUCGAGGCCGCUGGAUGCCGCCUCCCUUCAGGCGCCGAUCGGGACACGGAGCGUCGGCUCCCUCUUCGCGCUCCCGCCGGGUGCUACUUCGCCCGGACAGGCGCUUGUGGCCCACACCGCCGCCGCCCCGUCAACCGCGGCUGUCGCGCCCUCGGCCACUGCGCCGCUGGUGGCGGAGGACGUCGCGCUGGCAGGCUUCGCGGCGUCAACCGCGGCCAUCGCGCCCUCUGUCACCGCGCCGGCUGCCCCUCUGACUGUCUCCACGGUGGUCUCACCUCAGCCAGUCUCCUCGAUGGGAUCGCAGCCGUCGCCGCCGUUUCACUUCGGCCAUCUCAUCACCAUCAAGUUGUCGUCGGACAAUUACAUCUUCUGGCGCGCGCAGGUUCUUCCGCUUCUUGGGAGUCACUAUCUGCUUGGCUAUGUCGACGGCUCUCUCCCUUGCCCUCCUGCGCUGGUUGACAGCGUGCACGGUCCGGUCUAUAAUCCGGCUCACCGUGUCUGGACAGGGCAGGAUCAGGCGAACCUCUCCUCCAUCCAGGGGUCGCUCUCUCCGGCCGUUGCUGGGCUUGUUGUCUUCGCCAAGACGUCCCACGAGGCAUGGACUAUUCUUGAGCGCUCGUUUGCGGCACAGUCGCAGGCUCGUGUAUCUGGGCUUCGUCGCCAACUUGGGGAGUGUCAGAAGCUUGACUCCACCGCCACUGAGUUCUACAACAAAGUCAAGAGUCUCGCCGACACGCUGGCCUCCAUUGGACAGCCCCUCACCGACUCCGAGUUCAACUCGUUUAUUGUCAAUGGUCUUGAUGAGGAGUAUGACGCCCUAGUCGAGAUCAUCAAUGAGAGGGGCAACUCCAAGCCCAUGCCAGCACACGAGGUCUUUUCACGCCUCCUGCUUACUGAGCAACGAGUCGAGACGCGCCGAUCCAGGGGCAACGGCGCCCUCUCGGCAAAUGCCGCCACCAAGGGUGGUCGCUCCUCUGCUUCAUCCAGGGCUCCUUCGGGGCAGUCACCACCACCCGCCUCGGCCCCUCCUCCUACUGCGAUGCUACCAGGGGCUGGCGGUCCAUGUGUGUGCCAGCUUUGUGGUCGCGAUGGGCACUGGGCCUCGAAGUGUCACAAGCGCUUCCAGCGGGGUUUUCUUGGUCUCGGCAAUGACGGGAAGGAUACACGCAACUUUGCUCGUCAGGUCGCCAUGGCUGAUCGUCCGCGCCGCAGAAGUCACAGGGACACAUUCAGUCCUACUCCAGUGAUCCCCACUGGUACAUGGACUCUGGGGCGACAGAGCACCUGACCAGUGAGAUGGGGAAGCUUCACACUCGUGAACCCUACCAUGGCUCCGACAAGAUCCACACCGCCAAUGGAGCAGGUAUGCACAUCUCUCAUAUUGGUUAAGCAUCACUUCUCACUAGACAUGCCAAUAGGAGUCUUCAACUUCGCAAUGUUCUUCGAGUUCCAUCUGUGACACGUAAUCUUCUUUCAGUUCCUAAACUCACUCGUGAUAAUAAUGUGCUUUGUGAAUUUCAUCCUUUUGAUCUUUUUAUUAAGGAUCGGGGCACGAGGGACAUUCUUCUUAGUGGGCGGCUCUGCCAAGGUCUCUAUCGUCUGGAGCAUCCUGGCGUCGCUCGCGUCUUUAGUGGAGUUCGGGUAUCUCCGUCACAGUGGCAUGCUCGUCUUGGUCACCCGGCCACACCUAUUGUCCGGCAUGUUUUGCGUCGUCAUGAGCUUCCUAGUGUGUCUAGUAAUAAAGAUGUAGCAGUGUGUGAUGCUUGUCAGCAGGGGAAGAGUCAUCAACUUCCCUUUUCGGAGUCCAGUCGUGAGGUGAAACAUCCUUUAGAACUUGUGUUUUCAGAUGUAUGGGGUCCUGUUCAGACUUCUGUUAGUGGUCAUAAUUACUAUAUCAGUUUUGUUGAUGCUUACAGCCGCUUUACCUGGCUUUAUCUUAUCAAACGUAAAUCUGAUGUGUUUGACAUUUUUGUUCAGUUCCAAAAACAUGUUGAACGCCUUCUCAAGCACAAAAUUGUUCAUGUUCAGUCGGACUGGGGUGGCGAGUAUCGCAACCUCAACUCCUUCUUUCAGUCGCUUGGGAUCACUCACCGUUUAGCAUGUCCACAUACACAUCAGCAGAAUGGUUCAGUAGAACGUAAGCAUCGUCACAUUGUUGAAGCUGGUCUGACUCUUUUGGCCCAUGCAUCUGUUCCGUUUCGUUUUUGGAGUGAUGCUUUCACCACUGCAUGUUUUCUCAUCAAUCGUACUCCCACUCGUGUUUUGAAUAUGAAGACUCCCAUUGAAGUUCUCCUUAAUGAACAACCGGACUACACCUUUUUCAAGGUGUUUGGGUGUGCUUGCUGGCCCCAUCUCCGUCCAUAUAACAAGCGUAAGCUCGAGUUUCGUUCCAAGAAGUGUGUUUUUCUUGGUUAUAGCUCUCUUCAUAAAGGAUACAAGUGUCUUCAUGUGCCCACUAAUCGUGUCUACAUCUCUCGGGAUAUUGUGUUUGAUGAGCAUGUUUUUCCCUUUGCCAAACUCCCUGUGUCCACUACCGAGCCACCUGUCAUGCAUUCAUCCUCUGUUGCUUCUGACCAAUUUGAUGAUGUUGCAUAUUCUCCUCUAUUGUUGCCUAACCAUGGUGCAGGCACUGGUCGUGGGGCUCGUUUGGAGAUUCUGGAAGUGCCAUCUUCCUCUUCGUCGCCAUCGCCUUCAUCCUCGGCACCUUCUGUUGUGCAUGAGGAGCACAUGGCGCCCCUGCAUGGCCUCGGUUUCCGUGCUCAUGCACGGCCGAUCGACGCCCUGCCCCGGUCGCCUCUGGCUUCUGGGCUGCCUUCGCCAUCGUCGCGCCCUGCAACCCCGCCGACUGGGCCGGCCUCCUCGGUCCCCGUCUCGCCCAGGACGUCGGGGCAGUCAUCACCAGGCCUGGCCUCGCCCGCCCCUGCCUCGCCCAGGGUGUCUGGGCCCUUCUCACCAGGGCCGGCCUCGCCUGCUCUCGCCUCGCCAAGGCCGUCUGGGCUGGUGUCACCGGAGCUGGCCUCGCCCACUCUCGGUUCGCCCAUGGCCUCUGAGCCCCUGUCGUCGGGCCAGUCUUCGCCAUGCAGCCCGGAGUCGUCUGUCCCGAGCUCGCCUGAGGUGAUUCCUGCAUCUCCGGCGACCGUCACGUCUCCGUCACCUUCGCCUCCGCCGGCUCCUGCUGCUGCUCUACGUCCACAUACGCGCAGUCGGAGUGGCAUUUUUCAGCCUAAGCAACGUCACGAUGGCACAGUUGCUUGGUUAGCGGCGUGCAUGUCUGCUGCUCUCGUAGAUCCAUCCUCUGAGCCACGCACGUAUCAAGCUGCUAUGCGCAUUCCUCAUUGGAGAGAGGCCAUGGAGCAGGAGUAUCAAGCGCUUCUUCGCAAUCAGAUAUGGACUCUUGUUCCUCCACAAUCACGGGUAAAUGUCAUUGAUUCCAAAUGGGUUUUCAAAGUGAAGAGGCAUUCUGAUGGGUCCAUUGAGCGCUAUAAGGCUCGUCUGGUUGCUCGUGGUUUUCGACAGCGUUUUGGACUUGACUAUGAAGACACCUUCAGUCCAGUGGUCAAGCCUACUACCAUCAGACUUCUUCUCUCUCUGGCUGUUACUCGAGGUUGGUUUCUUCGUCAGCUUGAUGUUCAAAAUGCUUUUCUUCAUGGUGUCUUGGCGGAGGAGGUUUACAUGCGCCAGCCUCCGGGUUUCUCUGAUCCGGAUCGCCUUGAUCAUCUCUGUCGUCUGUCCAAGGCAAUUUAUGGUCUGAAGUAGGCUCCUCGUGCUUGCCAUGCUCGUCUUGCAAUGGCUCUUCGUGCUCAUGGUUUUGCAUCAUCAACUGCUGACUCCUCAUUGUUUCUUCUUCAAAGGCCUGAGGUUACUAUGUACUUGUUGGUCUAUGUAGAUGAUAUCAUUUUGGUCAGCUCCUCUCAGUCGGCUGCUACUGCGCUUGUUCGCUCACUUGGUGCUGAUUUUGCGGUCAAGGACCUUGGGAAGCUUCAUUACUUUCUUGGUGUGGAGGUUACUUCUCGUGAUGCUGGCCUUGUUAUGACGCAGAAGAAGUACUCUCUGGAUUUGUUGCAGCGAGCUGGGAUGCUUAAGUGCAAACCGACGACUACACCCAUGUCUACCACUGAUAAGCUCAAUGCUGUUGAUGGUGUGCUUCUUUCUUCUUCUGAUGCGACAGAGUACAGGAGUAUUGUUGGUGGGCUCCAGUACUUGACGAUCACGCGACCAGACAUUUCCUAUGCUGUUAACCGAGUCUGCCAGUAUCUGCAGUCACCCCGUGACACUCAUUGGUCUGCUGUUAAGCGGAUUUUGCGCUAUAUUCGUUUCACGAUGGCUCAUGGUUUGCAUAUUCGGCCGUCUGACUCUGGUUGUCUUUCAGCAUAUUCUGAUGCAGACUGGGCUGGCAAUCCGGAUGACAGGCGAUCCACGGGGGGUUAUGCUGUCUUCUUUGGCUCUAACCUGAUUGCCUGGAGUGCUCGGAAACAGGCUACUGUCUCGCGUAGCAGUACUGAGGCUGAGUAUAAGGCUGUGGCCAAUGCCACAUCAGAGAUCAUCUGGGUACAGUCCUUGCUUCAGGAGUUAAGUAUACCCCAAUCACAGCCUCCUGUUCUUUGGUGUGAUAACAUCGGUGCUACAUACCUUUCUGCAAAUCCGGUAUUCCAUGCCCGAACGAAACACAUUGAAGUUGACUAUCACUUUGUGCGUGAACGUGUCUCUCAGAAGCAACUACAGAUCAAGUUUAUUUCUUCCAAGGAUCAACUUGCUGACAUCUUCACCAAGCCAUUGCCUUUGCCACAGUUUGAGACUUGCAGGCGCAAUCUUACCCUUCUAGAUUCAUUAGAAAGUGGCUAAGAUUGAGGGAGGGUGCUAGACUGUAUUUACAUGUAUAUUGUAACGUUGUAUAGCACCUCAUUAUAUAUAUAUGUGAUAGGCCACCCCUAGAGGGUUGUGCCGGUUCCCCCCAAAGCCUAUUGUCUUACAAGCUCUAGGAGCUCAACAACGGCGUACCUCUUAGGUGGCCCGUGCCCGCCGUCUGCUUGGGUGAGCAGGCCCGUGGCCGUCUGCAAGAUCUCCUUCAUGCCCAAGUAGUCCGGAAGGCGGACCAGCUGGCCAGUAACGGGGUUGCACACGUAGCACACGAACUCCUUCUCGACGGCCUCCUCCAUGACCACCUCGGCUUCCUGUUCCGUGGGGCGGGCCAGGUUCAGCCCCGCGGCCGUGUGGGCGCUCAAACGGAUCCUCGUAGUCUUCAGGAGGAGAUGGCAGUCCUGGCUCGCGGCGAAGAUGACGCUGGCGUACACGUUGACGUACCUGCGGUCGGGGUUGCGCUUGCGUUCCUCCGGGUCGUACGCCCGCUCGGGGAUGGAGAAGAGAGUGGCCGACGGCGGCGGCGCGAGCGAGAAGGACGCGCCUUGCGUGUAGUUCGGCGUCUCCGAAAAGCGGUAGAUCAUCGCCCAGGGAGGGUUCGAGGCGGCGGUGGAGAGGGAGCGGCGGAUGUGGCCGGGCAGACGGCGGAGCGGGAGCAGCACAUCGGCGGAGGCGGAGACGGAGACGGCAACGGCGCGGGAGAGGUGGCCGGAGAGGCGACGGAGAGGGAGCAGCAUUUUGGUGGAGGCCGGGGCGGCGAUGGAUUUGGUAGCAGGCGAAGAGGAGACCGCACCGGAGAGGGUUUUGGGUGGUUUUGGGGAGAGUGGGAGGGAGUGGGGUGUGGUGGAAUGGCUGCCGGUCGGAGAAGCCGAGGAAGGAGGGGCAGGCGCUUUGCUCUGACACAACGUUUCGUGCAAGUUUCCCCAUCCCAUGUGCUUCUCUGCCCGGUAUGCUUCCGUUGGAUACUGGGCUGCAAGAUUUUGGAUUAUGAUUCGUGAUCUACGUGAGUGACAGAUUGAGACUACUCCUAUCAUCGACACACACUGCAGAGUAGGACCUAUCAGUGCUGAUGCAAGAUACAGGUCACCGAAAAUUUUGAAAUUGAUUGUGCUGUGCAAUACUAUGCAAAUACCAACAAUUUUCGGAAAUCUUAUUUGGAUGACAUUCUGUGGGAGAGUAAUGGAAAACGACCCCCUUUUGAUGGCAGUUUUAGUUCUGAGACGAGAUCAAACAACGACAAUUUUAAACGGAAAUUUGCAUUCUCUGACAAAAACUGCCAUGAUGUUAUGAUGAGCUGUCAUUCCUCAAAACUAAAACUGUCAGCGAGAUCAUUCACAAAUGCCACCCCUCCCGACGAACGUUCGCCAGCUAAGUGGGUCCAUAAUUUUUUAGAAUACAUAGGAAAAGAUUUGGAAGUUGGUGUUGAGAAACGAAAUACUCCCUCCUGCCAUAAUAUAAAAUGUUAUUACAACCAAUAUGUACUAAAUUGCCUGUUGUGAAUGCAUCCAUCAAAUCUCAUUAAUUGUCUAUCAACACCCUGACAUGUGGGGUCCAUCAUUCAAAUACUGGAUGUGUGUGAUAGUUUCGAGAUUAUUUCUCCAGUACAUCCAGACUAGCUAAUUUUUCAAGGUAGCGGUCAAAUUUCUAUCAAGCUUUGUAUGUAGACUUGCAUACCUCUUCGUUAUGGCAAUCAUAUCACUUCAUUCCACUCCAUUUCAACCAUCACUCCAUUUAUUCUAGGGAGUCUCAAGGCAAGAGAAAAAAGGAAGUUGUCGAGUGAUUCCAAGAACACGUCCUUGAUUCUACAAAGGCCUGAAUUCUCUUUUUCUUGAACCCCCAAGUGCUUCUCUCUUCUUACACCAAUCAUAUCCUUUGUUAGAGAGAGAGAGGUCCUAUGUGUUUCCGGAAGUGCACUGAUUGGAGAUCUUUUGAGUUCAUCCAAGUGACUUUUCUUUGUUUAUUACUCUUGUUGUAGGGUGUGUGCCUCCUAGAUAGCUAGGAGUUACUUGAGAGUUUUCAAUCAUUAUUGUGAAUCAAUCAGGAGCUUGUACACACUACUAGGGAAAAGCCUAAAUGUAGUGCCGGUUUUAGGUAUAGCAGUAGCGCGGGGGACCGCGCUACUGCUACGGCGCUACAGCUAGACGGUAGCAGUAGCGUGGGUUUGCCCGCGCUACUGAUAUACCUACUUAGCAGUAGCGCCUUUUCUAGAACGCGUUACUGGUAGUUACUAGCAGCGCGCCUUUCUAUACGCGCUACUACUAUUAUUAUUCUAUUUCUUUUCUGUUUUAUGUCAUAUUCAUACACCAUUAUACAAGUUUUCAUACAGUACCAAUUUAGAGAUUGUUUUACAUCAUAAUGAGUUAUUACAUCAUUGGGUGAAAGAACCGCGGAUUUUGGUCACUUUGGAUCCAUCCACUUGAGACUAAUCCGCGGACCCAAUGAUAUAAAAACUCAUCAUCAUCAUCAUCAUCAUCAUCAUCAUCAUUAACAACUUAUCAUCAUAAUACAUCAUCAACUCUAACACAUUGUACCACAUAAUAAAAACUUCUCAUCAUCAUCAUAGUCAUAAUCAACACUAACUAAUUGUUCUUAAUACCUAGGACCUACUCCUCUCUCCUAGGUAAAAUACCAUAAAAGAGAUAAACCGGUCCAUCUCCAUAAUGGAGAAUGGAGAUAAACCUAUCUCCAACUUGUGGCUUGCGUACAAUCAUGUUGUCUCCAAUUAAUUGCGUGUGCGCAUUCAUCACUUUGCUCCAUUCUUUGAUUUUGAGCCUUCCACCAUUUAAAAAAAUCGAGUAUGUAGUAUAGAAAGCUUUCGAAGGAUUUGGUCGUAAGUUAAUCAUAUGCAUAUAACCUUCGGUAAACAACAUAUAAGGCACAACCUCCUUCGGGAGCGUCUAUUGAAAAAUUUAAUAGUAACAUAUAUAGUUAGCAAUGUAGUUUAUAUACUUAAGAAGAAUGUAUGCAAUAAAGUUACAUCAUUAACAAAACCUUACCAAGUUCUUGGCAAUGAAGUUGCCAUCAUGCAAUUUAUGCACUAAUGGCACGUAUCCAGUAAAAUUUAGGAGGAUAGAAUGACUGGUUUUAAAGGCCUCAACAUCAUCUAUGAAUGAGACAAGAUAAACUUUCUCCUCACAAUUAAGCUCGGAAUCAUAGCUGUAGUAUGUCUUGUCUACAACCUUCCGAGUAUUUUUUGGAAGAUAAGAAAUAAGCUAACAAUUAUAAAUAAAGAUGGUUAGUACCGAUGAACACCAAAUAUUUUAAAAUUACCAAUAUAAAUUACUUAACUUAACAAAUUAGUUUGACAAACUCACAUUUAGACAAAACUGGAGGCAUAUCCACAUCCACCUAGAUAUCGAUAUUAUCAUCAUCAUCAUCUUCGGGACGAAUAUCAAAUUUUAUUUGCAUACCCUCGUCUAAUCCAUAUGCCUUGCAGAGAGCUUCCCAAUUAGAGCAACCGAAAUGGGAGUGAUUGUCCAUAUUGAACAGCUUAACUAGAAACACAUAACCAUGUUUAGUUCUUAAGUAAGCCCUCCUCGUCUCCGUAUUCUCAAAGUCUUUGAAACCGAGCUUCUGCAAUACAUAUGGUCUUGCAUGGCACGGGAUGUACUAAUCGAAUUGGAAAAAAAAUCCAUGAAUUAAAUGUUGACCAAAAGAAGCACAAAUGAUGAUGAAAUGCUUGUCGUUGCGUACCGUACAAACAUCAAAGGUCUCGUCCAGCUUCACGAUGAAAAACCUAUCAUUUUGCAAUUGAGGAUACCUAUCGCACAAACCCGGUCAUCGUAGCAGUAAUCGCACUCUGGGAUCCUAUCAUCAUCAGACAUCUCCUGUGUUCAAAAUUGAAAGAUUAAACUUCUGAAUUUCAAUAUAUCUACCGCAAAAACUAAAUUCGAUCAUCAAUAUUCAUCACGGGUUGACUUUCAGUCUAUUGAGACUUUUGCUAAAAAUUAUCAUCUCACGUGGUGUAUAUGGUGGGCACUCCCUCUCUCAUAUAUUCGACCGUCGGUGAUGGUCGCUCCGCCCUUCGUCCCCGAGUGCAUUACACCAAAUUAUCUAGCACACGGGAACGAAGGAGAAGCGACCCCCACGACAACACUCGGGAUUCUUCUUCAUCUCUGACAUUUGUGACCAUUGGUGAUGGUCGCUCUUCUCUUCCUUCUCGUGCAUUACCAAAAGGUCUAUCACGAGAAAGAAGAGGAAGAGCGACCCUCACGACAACAGUCGACAUUAUUCUUCUCUCAUAUAUGGUGGACACUCCCUCAUUGUUUUUUCACUGUCAUGGAUGGAGUCCCAACAGACUUAAAGUCAACCCAAAAUGUCGUUUAAUGCUCUUUCCGGCAAAUCCAAGACACUCGAUAUUUCUUACAUUCUAGCACAAGCCAUACUAAAAUUCACGGAAAAAUCUAGCAUGACCUUUUCUAAAAAGGACAUAUCGAGCGCCUGAGAUUUGCCGGAAUGGAAAUUAAUCAAUACUCCGGCAAAACAUAGGCCACUCUGAGGUGUUCCCUGCAAACAUAGGCCACUUGGGCAAGCACAUAUCCUAUUUGGCUACAUCAUCAUCAUCGACAUCAAUGACAUGGGGAUUUGGCUGCUCUCACCUCAAGGUCGAAGGGGUCGGUUUCGGGGACGACAACAGGGAUGAUGCAGGGGCUCCUUGGUUUCUGCAAAAACAAAAUAUAAACCCUAUAAGCUAUCAACUAAACAUUAUUAUGCUAAUUCAAAAGACCUACAUUUACUAAAAAUUCAAUAUAUCUUAUAACUUGAAUAUUUCAUUUGGUUAAAAAUCAUAACUAAUGUUUCUUACUAAAAAUUUCCAUACCUAAAUUUUCUUACUAAAAAUUUCUGUUACUAAAUUUCUCAUAUGGCAUAGCAUUGCGAUACAUUUCUAUAUUGAAAAUUUUGUAUACCUAAACAAUUUCUAUUACUAAAAUUUCUAUUCAAAAGACCUAAAAUUUUUGUUACUAAAUUUGUAUACCUACAUUCAAAUUACCUACAUUCUACAAGAACAAGAACAUGGAAGGGAUGGAUGGAGGGAGGGAGGGAGAGGAGGGGAAGGAAGGAGGGAGGGAGGAGNNNNNNNNNNNNNNNNNNNNNNNNNNNNNNNNNNNNNNNNNNNNNNNNNNNNNNNNNNNNNNNNNNNNNNNNNNNNNNNNNNNNNNNNNNNNNNNNNNNNNNNNNNNNNNNNNNNNNNNNNNNNNNNNNNNNNNNNNNNNNNNNNNNNNNNNNNNNNNNNNNNNNNNNNNNNNNNNNNNNNNNNNNNNNNNNNNNNNNNNNNNNNNNNNNNNNNNNNNNGAAGAGGUGCCUCACUGGCGGUGGCGUGCCAGCGACGGUGGGGGGUGGUGGCGCGCGGACGGCGGCGGUGGGCGAUGGUGACGGGGAUGGCGACCAGGGAAUGUGAGUGAAAGUGUGUCGUGAGGGAGAGAAGGAAACGGGAGGGACGACCAUAGGAUAAUGUGGUUUUUGCAGUAGCGCGAGAAGCCAAAAAGCUCUACCGCUAAAACAUUAGUUGUAGCGCGUUUACAGGAAAAGCACUACUGCUAAGGCAAAGCAUGUAAAAGUACAUUAAAAAUACAUUGGUCAUAAAAGAUCUUUUUGUGUAGAAUUUGAAUUGUCAAUAUGAGUCCUCACCGGUCUAGGAACCGAUGAAGACUCAUAUUGCGGCCACAAAUCCUACACAUAGAGUUCAAUGAAGACCAAGUGGUUGUGAUAGUUUGAGAAGUAACAUAUUUAAGGUGGUAAACCAUGCUACUGGUAAGAUUCUGUGUAUAAGAUUAUCCCUAGUAGUGACAAGGUAUGAAGUCCUGCAAGUUCUACCCCAAGUGAUGGGAUUUUGGCGGUUCAUGAUGGGUUCUUGGUGUUUUCAUGAGAUUGUUCAAGAGGUUAAGGUUCAAUGUCAAAAGGGUGUUGUUGUAGGGUGGAACCCUAGGUGAAGAUCUUUCACGAAUUGGAGGGGGAAUCCCCAGGAACAAGAUGAACACAAGAGGGAAAACAAGAGGAACACUCAAGAACAAGUCCAAAUCACACAUCCACUAGACCAACAAACACACAAGAUCCACAAGGUACAUGAACAAUCAAAGGGAAAUAAGAUACAUGGUAGAGUUCAUCCCAAAUCCUAUGAAGGAGAUGAGGGCUUGAUUAUCCUAUGAUGGGGAUCCUUCCCCAAGGCGGAGGUCUUGAUGAUUGGUCACUCCAAGAGGAGGUCUUGAUCUCCUAGUGGAGUGGAUCCAUGGAGCAAAGCUCACAAAUGUCUAUCAAAUACUUUGCUAUCCCACAAAUGACCUAGGAGAUGCCCUUAUAUAGUCUAGGGGCGGACUAGGAGGAGGAAAAGAGAUUACAUGGGCAAAAACCCAAAAAGACACGGGCUGUCCCGGAGGGGUCCGGGCACCCGGGCACUUGGGGCCUGGCACCCGACCUACUCAGGGGUGCGGCUGGGAGAGGCCGGGCACCCGGGGGUGCAGCAGGAGGCUGACUGGGGUGUGGCCGGGCACCCGGGGCCUCAAGCCCGGGCACCCGGGGUGGCGCCCAGCGGCAGACGGCCGAGGGCCGGGCACCCGGGGGCCCAAGUCCCAGGCACCCGAGUGGGUGGCAGGUGGCUGGGCUAGGGGCCCGGGCACUCGGGGCCGGCGUAGCAGCGCCCAGGGGAGGGGGGGGGGGCACCCGGGGUGUCCAGAGGGUUUCGCCCCUUGCUCCUUUCCUCAUUCUUCUCGUUCUUCUCCACCUCCUGCGUAGGUCUCCGGUGAACUUGGUGAUCCCUUCGUGCUUUCUCGUGACGAUCUCCAAAGUACCUAAGCAUGCACAACGUUUCCAUAUGAGGUAGAGUCUGACUCUCAUGUGAAUCCCAAAGAAACUCGAAGAGGAAAGAGUUCACCUCGGUUCCGAUGGCACGUGCGCGAGCUCUCGUCGUAGGUCCUCUCCGUGCUUGCGGUGGCGAUGUGACGUCCAUGGUGAUGGUCGAGGGAUGCUCUGCAUCAUCUCCCCCCUCCUUGGGAGAGAUCCGUCCACGGAUCGUGAUCUUCAUCACCAUGGGAAGGAGACGGCGUCGCCGUGUAGAAGUGGACGACCACCAAGCACGUAUCAUGUUGAAGCUCGAAGUGGGCACUCUCCAAUGUUGCACCGUCUUUUAAUACCUUCAAAAGGAGCAAAGAUAACAAGCACUUGGAAAAGCAAAUGUGGUUGGCAUUAAAGCAAAACCAAGCAUUCAAGAGGUAAUUCACCCAACAAGUGUUGUCAUCAAGCAUAGCAUAUGGUGUGACAAGGGAGUGUGGCAUGGCAUGUAAGCACGUAACUUGAGCACAAUCAAGGACAUCAUGGAAACAAGCAUGUAAAUGUGAGGUAAGGAUGCUAAAACGGUUGAUAAGAGAACAAGCAUCAACCUCAAGAUCAUAGCAAGCAUGCAUAAAGUGCUCGAUAAAUGGUCUAUGGUAUGCAUAAGAAUCAUUCACAACACCCAAGAAGAUUAUAUGACUAAGCAUAUGCAAGUGCAAGACAAUCCGAUCAUAAUGUGCACAUGGUGUAGUGAAGAAAGUGUGGCACUCAACACAAAUGAUAUAGCAAUUGUUCAUCAUGUGUGAGGCAAUCAAAUCAAUCAUGUGACAAGCAAUGGGACAUGGCAUAUGUGAAGUAAUGACAAUGUUGCAACCAAACAUAAGAUAGGAGCAAGUAAUCCAAGAGGUGGAUGCAACAUGAGAAAGCAUAGAAAUCAAGUCGUGCAAACUAGUGGAGCGAAGAUGCAACACACUAGAGGAAAUCAUGGCAAUCAUGUCAUGUGAGCAAAGAGUAGGCAUAGGCAAUGCACAUGGCAUAUCACAAGCACGAUUGCAAAGCAAGAUAUCAUCAUAGGAAUGGAGCACAUAGCAAACAUGGCAAUAACAAGCAAUAUCUCCACCAAGCUUGCAAAUACACAUAAAGUAGUAGAAUCAAUCAUCAUGUGUAAUGCAAAGCAUGGGUCACAAAUGCAUGGCAAAUGCAUAUGAAUGAGCAUAUCAUGCAAAGUGAACAUCGCAAUAUGGGCAUAAAGUGAGAAGUGCUAAAUAACCCAUAACCAAGUGAGAGCCAUGUAGAAGAAAUGCGCGAAAUCCUUGCGCGAAGAGAGCGGUGGGAAAGACAAUCCAUGUGAUCCCAAGUCAUCGUCUCUCUCUAGAGCUCGUUUUGUCAACUCAUGGGAUUGUGAGGUUGACAAGUAUUCAUGGGUACCUACACAAAAGAAACACAAACCAAAGAAAUUGUGCGCGUGGUAAAUGUACACAUCAUCCAUCAUGAUGUGUAUGUGCACAUGUGAGUUAGCACAAGAUAAGCAUCGCUCAAAGAAAUUUGAUGCAUGGUAUAAGAACAUGUCAUCCAUCAUGAAAGAAUAGUUAUUGUGUAUGACACGAUGGGGAUGCAAAUUUAGAAUAGAAGUAUAUGGCACAUCACUAGCAUGUUUAUUCAUGGGAAUCAUAUUGUGCACACAAGUAUUGGGAUCAUGCAAUGGAUAGGAUGAAUCAAAAUCUCCUAAUAUGGAUGAGGAAACUAUGGGGGUCUCCUCAUGAGCAAUAGCAGAAACAUCAUAUGGAGAAAAUGGAGAACAUCCAAAACAAUGCAUAUCCGAAGCUAGGUGGUCAUGGCAUGGCAUAUGAGAUAAAUGAUGCAAAUGAAGCAUAUCAAUAUCAUCACAAGAAAAACAAAUGCCAAUAACCAUGGGCUUGUCAUCUAUGCCAUAUGUGCAAAUUGGGUUUAUGUUGAUGGCAUAUGCAUAGUCACUAAGAUGAGAUUGCAAAUAAGACAUAUGAUUGAUCUCAUGCAUAGCAUAUGACAAGUCAAGCGGAUUAUCAAACAUGAUGUGACCAAGAGAAUUAUCACAAGAAAUCCUAUGUAACAUGGCAUCACAACUACUAGACUCCGCAUGGCAAUCAUCAAACUCAUCAUAAAUGGGUAAAUCAUCGCAUGGGGAAAUCAUACUAGCAUGGAGCAUGGUAAUAAGUGGAUCAACAUCAUGCAAGCAAUCAAUGUCAAGAACGUCCACUAGUGGGACAAGAGCAUCACCUUCACCUAUGUUACCUUUCUCGUUCCACUCAAGUGGUGUAGGUGAGGUGGGGAAGACCAAAGCGUGGUCAACAUCAUCAUCGUGAUGGAACCAUGUGGGGGUGCAUCAUAGUCCACCAUUGCCAUCGUCUUGUCCAUAGGAAGGACGAAGUCAUCACGGAUCGACGCAUCAUCAUAUAUGGGACCUAGCACCAAAUGAGAAGACACAAUAGAGGUAGAGGUUAAGUUGUUAGAAAUCGAAAUGGCCUCACAUGUCGUAUCAACUACCUCACUCUCUCUAUGUGGUGGUGGCUCACUCACUCCCUCAAGGUAGGUGCACUCAAUGUCACAUAUGGCGGAGUCACUCAAAUCACUCAAGUGGUGGUGUUGGUGGCUCUCCUCACAUGGGAAUUGGGGCAACUCGUCAUAUAUGGGGCUAGUGGUGAAGUCACUCUCACUCUCAAUAUGGUGGCACAAGUCACUCAAGUCAUCA
rnacentral:lncRNA from 1 species